rnacentral:rRNA from 1 species
AAAUUGAAGAGUUUGAUCAUGGCUCAGAUUGAACGCUGGCGGCAGGCCUAACACAUGCAAGUCGAACGGUAACAGGAAACAGCUUGCUGUUUCGCUGACGAGUGGCGGACGGGUGAGUAAUGUCUGGGAAACUGCCUGAUGGAGGGGGAUAACUACUGGAAACGGUAGCUAAUACCGCAUAACGUCGCAAGACCAAAGAGGGGGACCUUCGGGCCUCUUGCCAUCGGAUGUGCCCAGAUGGGAUUAGCUUGUUGGUGGGGUAACGGCU